CAUUUCAAGGAGGUCAAGGCUGUAAGUAAGAGGAUGCCAGGGGCGGUUGUUACGAAGGCAAAAUGUUUGCAUUGUGCUAAAUUGUUUGCUUAUACUCCUGGGGGAUCAACUACUAGUCUCAAUAGGCAUAAAGAUGUUUGUUCAGUCUAUCUAAACAAGAAGGGAAGGCAACUACAGCAAGGUACAAUCAACUUUGAUCCUGAAAAGCCAGGUGCAUCUCUCAUAGUAAACCAUGAAUACAAUCAUGCGGAAGUCGUUAAGAUCAUAGCAAAGAUGAUAAUUGUGCAUGAUUAUCCCUUUAGGAUGGUAGAGCAUACUUGGUUCAAUAUCCUCAUGAGGUAUAUGAAUGUGUCCUACAAGUUCAUUGGUCGGAAGAAGAUUAGAGCUGAAUGCAUGAAGGUGUAUCUUUCCGAGAAAGAAAUUCUUAAAAAGCAACUUAAGUCUGUUGAAAGCAUUAGUUUGACAUGUGAUCUAUGGACUUCAAACCAAACUCUCUCAUACCUAGCUGUGGUCGCUCACUACAUAGAUGAUGAUUGGGUCAUGCAAUGUCGUGUUUUAAACUUCAUGGAGCUAGAUCCACCUCACUCGGGUAGUGCCAUAGCUCAAGCAGUUUUUGAGUGUUGCCAAGAAUGGAAAAUAGAAGAUAAGAUCAUGACAAUCACUAUGGAUAAUGCUUCCUCAAAUGAUAAUGCUGCCAAGAGAUUGAUGGACAAGAUCAUUGCUAGGAAAUCUACUAAAUUUAUUCCUAAGUACUUCCAUGUUCGCUGCUGUGCGCACAUUGUCAAUUUGAUAGUGAAUGAUGGCAUUGCUCUAUUGCAAACUUUGAUCAAUAAGCUUAGGGAUACUGUCAAGUAUUUGAAAAAAUCCCCAACACGCAUGUACAAAUUAUUGAUGGUUUGCAAGUCUCUGAAUAUGGAAAUUGGGAGAGGUUUAUGCCUGGAUGUUGCUACUAGAUGGAAUUCUGCAUGCAGAAUGUUAGAGGCUUGCACUGUGUAUAGAGCUGCUUUCAAGGAGUAUGCAGAGGUAGAUGCUACCUACAAAUGGCAGCCUGAAGAUGAAGAGUGGGCAUUAUAUGAGAAGAUUCAACCCAUCUUGAAAUCAUUUGCCGAGGUAACAACUGUAUUAUCAGAAUCUACCUAUCCUACUGCCAACAUUUUUUAUCCAUAUAUCAUAAUGUUAAGAUUGCUAUCGUAG
rnacentral:rRNA from 1 species